rnacentral:rRNA from 1 species
GAAACUCAAAGGAAUUGACGGGGACCCGCACAAGCAGCGGAGCGUGUGGUUUAAUUCGUUGCUACACGAAGAACCUUACCUGGGUUUGACAUAUAGGUUGUAGGGAACUGAAAGGGACGACCCUUCGGGGAGCCUAUACAGGUGUUGCAUGGCUGUCGUCAGCUCGUGUCGUGAGAUGUUCGGUUAAGUCCGCUAACGAGCGCAACCCUCGUCGUAUGUUAUAUGUGUCAUACGAGACUGCCGGUAAAAGCCGGAGGAAGGUGAGGAUGAUGUCAAGUCAGCAUGACCUUUAUAUCCAGGGCUACACACACGCUACAAUGGUCUGUACAAUGGGUAGCCAAGCCGCGAGGCGGAGCCAAUCCUGAAAGCAGGCCUCAGUUCAGAUUGCAGUCUGCAACUCGACUGCAUGAAGCCGGAGUUGCUAGUAACCGCAGGUCAGCAAUACUGCGGUGAAUACGUUCCCGGGUCUU